GCGCAGGUGGUCGAGUCCGGUAAGGCCCCCGACUGCAGAUCGGGAGAUCGUGGGUUCAAAUCCCUCCCUGCGCU
rnacentral:tRNA from 2 species